CCUACGGGACGCAGCAGGGGGGAAUAUUGGACAAUGGGCGAAAGCCUGAUCCAGCAAUGCCGCGUGUGUGAAGAAGGUCUUCGGGUUGUAAAGCACUUUCAGUAGGGAGGAAGGUAGUGUAGUUAACACCUGCAUCAUUUGACGUUACCUACAGAAGAAGCACCGGCUAACUCCGUGCCAGCAGCCGCGGUAAUACGGAGGGUGCGAGCGUUAAUCGGAAUUACUGGGCGUAAAGCGCAUGCAGGCGGCCUGUUAAGUCAGAUGUGAAAGCCCGGGGCUUAACCUCGGAACUGCAUCUGAUACUGGCAAGCUUGAGUCUCGUAGAGGGGGGUAGAAUUCCAGGUGUAGCGGUGAAAUGCGUAGAGAUCUGGAGGAAUACCGGUGGCGAAGGCGGCCCCCUGGACGAAGACUGACGCUCAGGUGCGAAAGCGUGGGGAGCAAACAGGAUUAGAUACCCGAGUAGUC
rnacentral:rRNA from 1 species